ACCUCCUCCCCCCACCUCCACCCCCCACAUGAGCUGUCAAGGUCCACAUCGUAUGGAAAUUACACGGGUAUUUUUUCUGUGUUUAUGUCGAUUCUCCCUCUCUCCCACCCAUUGAUGAAGGCAACAUCUGUGACUGAAGAAUGUGAUGGACUGCAACCCCUAUCAUGCACAGAAUGUCAUUGCAGGAUUUGCAGUCUCUGGUACCCUCCCCCUCCCCCCCAUAAAACAAUUAUAUAUGUAAACACGACUAUUAGCGCAUAGUGGGGUUUAAUGCAAAAUAGGAAUCACCAGAGGUACACAGACAUGUAAUUCCCUGUACAAAUGUAGACCCUAAAGCUGUUAUAAAACUACACCUGGCUGCUACAGCAUCAUGGGAGUUGUAGUAUUUCUAGCACAGCCAGGGGUCCUUUGUAUAUGAAGGUCCAUGUCACAUUUACGAGGGUAAUCCUUGGUUUGGCCAUUAACGCAUAGGUUUUCAUGAAGGGUUAUGUAAGAGUAUCACUACCAAAGAUUAUAUACACAGACAGGAGCUGGGGAUAUACCUGCUGGCCACCCCUUGCUAAUCUGUCUGCAUUGUGCUAGCCGCCCUACAGAUGAUGUGUUAAUAUGAAUAAUAUAUUCUAGACUGGGCUUUAUUGGUCCUAUUACUAAACCAUUGCUCACCACUGGGAUGCCAUACACUACCUGGCAAGGAAAGAGUUAACUGUGAGGAUUUUCUCUCUCUCUCUCUCUCUCUCUCUCUCUCCAGAGGCGGUCAGCACUUCUGGAGCGGCCGCUGUGGUUUUCAAAGGAAGGGGAACAGAUGAUUUUUGCUUAUGCAAGGAAUGUCUCUGCUGGUGCUGCUGCAGUGUCUUUUCCCUGCAAGCCCUUAUUCCUCUUACAAAUGCAAGCUGGAAUUUAUUGAAACCACGUCAGCCUCUGAAUUGGAACAUUCGUUAUUUGCUAUCAAUUGGAAUGUUUGUCAGUUUGUUAAAUUUUACUCAUACUGUUUCUAAUGUUCUCUAGCCACAAGCAUUGCGUUUAUACACACAGCUACAGUGAGAUCCCAUAUUUCGAGUAUGAAUUGCAUGUCUGGGUGUGUGCUUACACUUUCUGCAGUGAUUCAUGUUUAUACUGCAGAAUAGAUACUUGCCUUUUUUUUUUUGGCUUUUUAUGGGUUAACCUUUUCCAAUGUGGGAUGUCUCCCCCUCCCCCUGACAGUCCCUUCCUCCAUCAGAAAAGGGGAAAAAAAAACACAACAAAAAAGAGGUGAGGGAAGACUCUCUUGUAGAUCCUCAUUAAUCAGGACUUGUUUUGUAUAAUCCUUUACUCAGAAAUACCACACAGACAGGAAAUGGACUGUUGGGAUAUUUUAUAACUAAAAUACUGUACAUUGUAUAUUAUAAUAGUAUGUAUGUUACUGAAUGUGUCACGGCAUUGCGGUGCUUGCUAUAUAUCUAAUUAAAGAGAUCCACUCUCACCAGAAUCCUUCCCUUUGCC